AUUGAACGCUGGCGGCAGGCCUAACACAUGCAAGUCGAGCGAGCGGCGGACGGGUGAGCAAUGUAUGGGGAUCUGCGUGAUCGAGGGGGACAACUACUGGAAACGGUGGCUAAUACCGCAUACUAUCGGCUGAACCCAUUUGGGAUUAGCUGGUAGGUGGGGUAAAGGCGCACCUAGGCGACGAUCUCUAGCGGGUCUGAGAGGAUGAUCAGCCACACUGGGACUGAGACACGGCCCAGACUCCUACGGGAGGCAGCAGUGGGGAAUAUUGCACAAUGGGCGCAAGCCUGAUGCAGCCAUGCCGCGUGUGUGAAGAAGGCCUUAGGGUUGUAAAGCACUUUCAGCGGGGAGGCGUUACCCACAGAAGAAGCACCGGCUAACUCCGUGCCAGCAGCCGCGGUAAUAC
rnacentral:rRNA from 1 species